GAAGCAAGGGUGAUCAGAGAAGAAAAAAAGAAAUUAAUAAAACAAUUAGGACCAAAUCUACAAACGUCUCUGUGCGCCUAAUUACGAACCUAGGCGACUGGUGAGAUCUGAUACUUUGGAAAAGGUCUAAGAAAAUCCUCUUCGGAGAGAAAUCGGAAGCCCAGUAAAAGGUAAAACCAUGGCCCAAAACAACCAAAAACCCGUCUCAUUCCAGCUGCAAGGACAAUGUCUUAUAUAGCAACACCUGGCAACAUCCUCCUUUUCUUCCACCGGGCCAAAAAUAUUACUGGGGGGAAACCCCAAUUAUUGCGCAAUUAAUUAGUCAAUCCCAUUCUGCUUUAAUAAUCUCUCACGAUUAAGCAGGAAUUCCGGGUAAAUUAGUAAUGCACUGGGACUGCCUGACAACACCCGCCGUUUGCAAACCACCCGUGUGUGCUGCAGAGACGUACUCCUUUGGGAAAUAUAGGGGGUGGGGGAGGGUUGUGUUGAACACUUCUACAGUUGUCCGGCAGAGGGCGCCGCAGUCCAAGCAGAAGCGCUCCGUGUAGACGCGAUGACCGGUGGGUCUAUUCCACCCCUUGGCUUUUUCGUGCCGUCGAGCUCCCAUGUCAUCCCUCUGAGCCCGCCUCCUGGCAGAUACAGGGCACUUACCAAGCGGAGACACAGAGAGAGGGCUUUGUGUGGUUGGCACCACAGUGACACAUCCCAGAAUAAAGCAGCAGCAUCACUGCAUGCGUCUCUCUCCCUUGAGUGUGCCGGUAUCCCCUACAGUGCCUGUCCUCGGGGCUGAAGAGAGAGACAAGGGGCUGACCCCUGCAGAAGAGCAGAGACACCCAGAUUUUUUUCUGAUGAUGGGAACAAUCAGGGGCUCAGCGAUUGUGCUGGUUCUUGUUUUGAGCGCCAGGGGCAGAGCCGAGAUCCGGCAGCCGGUCUCAGCAGAAGCUUUGGAGGGAGCUGAACUGAAUCUCACCUGCUCUCACCCCUCAGCCAGCCGUGAUAAUAUAUUCUGGUACCGGCAGUUUCCGAACCGAGGACCCGAAUUUAUAGUGACUGGAUUCAGUGGAACCGCUCAUAGCCCCGACCCAGAGGGAACCUUGCAUAUCUCCAAAGAUAAAGAAAACAGCACCUUCGCCCUGCGCAGGAUGAGGCUGGCAGACGCAGCGGUGUAUUACUGUGCUCGGAGAGACACAGUGUGACAGCCAGGGGCGGCCCCCGUACAAUAAAUCCCCUACUGGGUAUUUGUGUGUGUAGGUGGGGAGGGAGACAAGCGGGGUGGGGAGAGGAGAAGGUAAGAAGCCAGAAAGGAGGAAUUGAACAUUUUAGAGGGGGUUCUAAAGAAGUCUAGAAAAAGACGUCCUUC